rnacentral:rRNA from 1 species
GACGUAGGGCGCGAGCGUUGUCCGGAUUUAUUGGGCGUAAAGAGCUCGUAGGCGGCUUGUCGCGUCGUCCGUGAAAACCUGCAGCUCAACUGCAGGCUUGCGGUCGAUACGGGCAGGCUGGAGUUCGGUAGGGGAGACUGGAAUUCCUGGUGUAGCGGUGAAAUGCGUAGAUAUCUGGAGGAACACCGGUGGCGAAGGCGGCAUCCUGGACCAUUACUGACACUGAAAAGCGAAAGCCAGGGGAGCAAACGGG